rnacentral:rRNA from 1 species
GUGACCUCGGAUAAGUAGGAAACCCGCUGACUUAAGCAAU